GUACUGGUGGUCCAGUGGUAGAAUUCUUGCCUUCCGUGCAAGAGACCCAGGUUUAAUUCCCAGCCAGUGCA
rnacentral:tRNA from 1 species